rnacentral:tRNA from 1 species
GGGCUUGUAGCGCAGCUGGUAGCGCGCCCGCUCGGCAGGCGGGAGGUCGGCGGUUCGAAUCCGCCCUGGUCCAC